CACGCAUGACACACUGCAUAUCAAUAAGCGGAGGAAAAGAAACUAACAAGGAUUCCCCUAGUAACGGCGAGUGAAGCGGGAAGAGCUCAAAUUUGAAAUCUUAAAGGGUUUCCCUUUACGAAUUGUAGUUUAAAGAAGUGUUUUCUGUUGGAGUUUCGGUAAAAGUUCUUUGGAAUAGGACAUCAUAGAGGGUGAGAAUCCCGUAUUUGACCGUUACUUUCCAGCUGUGUGAUACACUUUCAAAGAGUCGGAUUGUUUGGGAAUGCAGUCCAAGAUGGGUGGUAAAUUUCAUCUAAAGCUAAAUAUUGGCGAGAGACCGAUAGCGAACAAGUACCGUGAGGGGAAGAUGAAAAGAACUUUGAAAAGAGAGUUAAACAGUACGUGAAAUUGUCAAAAGGGAAGCGUUUGACACCAGUGUUGUUUAGUUGAAAAUCAAUUCAAUAGUUUUUGAUUCUAAGUAGUAUUGACUUCAUCAGCUUGCUGCUUUCUUCUCAGAAAUUAUUGAAUGCACUUUUCAGUUAACAAGUCAACAUCAAUUUCUUUUGUUGUAAAAGGGUAAGAGGAAGGUGGCUUGCGCUUCGGCUCAAGUGUUUAUAGCCUUUUAUCUCUGCAAUCGGAGAGAUUGAGGUCUGCAGCGUAGAUCCUUCGGGGUUAGAUACAUUGGUGCUAAGCUAUAGCCUUGUAUAGACAACUUGUUGACUAUGAUCAGUCAUGUAGCUUACUCGCUGAUGCUAUUUUACCUACGCUUAGGAUGUUGAUCUACAGAGCGAGAGU
rnacentral:rRNA from 1 species